GGCUGGGCCAAGAGCAGUGGUGUUUACACCUAAUUGAUAACAACUAGUUACAGACUUCUUUGUUCCUUUUCCACUCCCACUGCUUCACUUGACUAGCCUUAA
ensembl:misc_RNA Y_RNA Y RNA